rnacentral:misc_RNA from 1 species
GAUGAAGAACGUAGUGAAAUGCGAUAAGUAGUGUGAAUUGCAGAAUUCCGUGAAUCAUCGAAUCUUUGAACGCACAUUGCGCCUUCUGGUAUUCCGGAAGGCAUGCCUGUUCGAGAGUCAUUAACAACCGUUUCGAUCCCUUUCUUUCAGAAAUUACAAAGAGGAAAAGGGUUUGGUUAUGGUGGAGGAGGGAAAGGGGGCGUUUAGCAUGUAAAAAAAGAGGCUGGGUUCCGCCUCCCCCCCAAAAUUGUACAGGCGGUCGUGUGCGCCCACGCAUCGAGGUGUUGUAAAAGCUGCCACGGCACUUUUCACCUGUGCAGUGCGAGAUUGGCCAGCCGGUUUAAAAACCCCUCCAAACAAUCAAAGGUUGACCUCGGAUCAGGUAGGGAUACCCGCUGAACUUAAGCAUAUCAAUAAGCGGAGGA